AUUGAACGCUGGCGGCAUGCCUUACACAUGCAAGUCGAACGGCAGCGCGGGGCAACCUGGCGGCGAGUGGCGAACGGGUGAGUAACAUAUCGGAACAUACCCUAGAGUGGGGAUAACGUAGCGAAAGUUACGCUAAUACCGCAUACGCACUAAGGUGGAAAGUGGGGGAUUCGCAAGAACCUCAUGCUCAUGGAGUGGCCGAUAUCUGAUUAGCUAGUUGGUGAGGUAAUGGCUCACCAAGGCGACGAUCCGUAACUGGUCUGAGAGGAUGAUCAGUCACACUGGAACUGAGACACGGUCCAGACUCCUACGGGAGGCAGCAGUGGGGAAUAUUGGACAAUGGGCGAAAGCCUGAUCCAGCCAUGCCGCGUGUGUGAAGAAGGUCUUCGGAUUGUAAAGCACUUUAAGUUGGGAGGAAGGGUAGUAACCUAAUACGUUGCUACUUUGACGUUACCGACAGAAUAAAGCACCGGCUAACUUCGUGCCAG
rnacentral:rRNA from 1 species